rnacentral:rRNA from 1 species
AAGAAGCACCGGCUAACUACGUGCCAGCAGCCGCGGUAAUACGUAGGGUGCGAGCGUUAAUCGGAAUUACUGGGCGUAAAGCGUGCGCAGGCGGCUUUUUAAGACAGAUGUGAAAUCCCCGGGCUUAACCUGGGAACUGCAUUUGUGACUGCCAGACUAGAGUGUAGCAGAGGGGGGUAGAAUUCCACGUGUAGCAGUGAAAUGCGUAGAUAUGUGGAGGAAUACCGAUGGCGAAGGCAGCCCCCUGGGCUAACACUGACGCUCAUGCACGAAAGCGUGGGGAGCAA